rnacentral:misc_RNA from 1 species
GUUUAUUUUUAUUUUGGGUUUGGCUGUGUUUUUAUUAAAUUACCGUAAAAUUAUGGGUUUAUGUAAUUUCGGUGUCAGUUAUAAAUUGCAAAGGUUAGAUUAAGCUUUGGGGCUUAUUAUCAAUGAAAAACGAUGGUCCACCACUAUAUGUUCAGUCUAAAAAAUCGAAAUAUCCGGGUUACAUGCGCGGUCAUUACCCCUUUGCCUCUUCACAUUGAUUUCUGAUUUUUUUCUGAAAGUAUGACCUUUUGAGGUAUAGUUGCUAAAUUUUAUAAAAAUAGAGGGUUUGGGUACAUAAGAAUCGUCUACAAUGCAGAAGAAGGACGAGGUGUUUGACCAGAAAAAAAUGGAACUAGAGAUUUAUCUCCAGAGGAUGGAGUCGAGAAUUGCCAGCAUGGCUCCUGUGGGUCACACCGCAGAUGUCCUGGAGCUACAACUAAGGGAACAGAAAACUUUACAUGCAGAACUCCAUCAAUUCAAGUCUCAAAUCGAGGCAUUCCAGCAACUCACUCAGAGGCUCAUUACCGCCCACCAACAUGAGGACACCACUAGAUUUAAAAAGGCAGCAGAGUACAUCAACCAACAUUACCUUCAACUGGACGCUUGCGUUAUUAAUCGCGGAAAACUCCUUCACUCUGCGCUAAGUUCUCUUCAGAACUUUGACCGGUCGCUAGACAAAUUUCUUGCGUGGCUCAGUGAGGUUGAAUCGGUGGUGGAAUCUCUGGAAGGCGACACAGAGUCUCGUCGAGCCGCCCACCAACUUAAAGAAAUACAAGCCGACGUAGAGCGUCAGAGUUCAACGCACGCACAACUGAGACAAAGCAAUUUAGCUUUGUUGGGUACUUUAGCCCCUGAGGACGCUCUUAUGGUGCAAUUGAGAGGAGAUGAAAUGGAAAGGCGAUGGCAGGCUUUAAAAACUCGGACAGCCGAUUUGAGGAACCGCUUAGAGCACAACGCGGAUUACUGGAACACAGUCUUGUUAUCUUUAAGGGAAUUAACGGAGUGGGUGAUAAGAAAAGACACUGAAUUGGGUUUGGCUGCGAGGCAGGAUGACCAUAGGGCCUUUAGGCAGCAAUUGGAAGACAAACGGCCCCUGGUGGAGGCCAGUUUGCGCAGCGCGCGUCAGUUCGUGGCUGGCGAUCCCUCUGGUGAGCUAGCCCGAAAUCUUAGGAGGGAACUGGUUAAGCUAUCUGACAAGUGGAAUGCUCUCAUAGACAAAUCUGAUAAGUUGACAGUGAAAUUUGAGCAAAAUUCCAUUAAGCUAAAGCAGCUGACUAGUAGCUUAGAUGAGGCCUGCACGGCAGUUUCUCGUUUGGAGAGAGCUACGUUAACAUGGAGCGGGCCUCGCAGUGCUGCCGAAGCCAGAGAGUUGUUGAAUAACUUGAGGAUUUUGGAGCAGCAGCUGCCACCUUUGCAGAGAUCUCUAGAAGAAGCGAGAAUUCAAGCAAACGCUCUCGGGAACUCUCUUCCUAAUAACUUGGCGGGACAAUUGGAGGAUUGCGGUGCGAGAUGCCGGGCAUUACACGCGGCUAUAAGGGAACGGCGUGAAGUGCUCACCUGCAGUUCUCAAGGAGAAAUCUCUCCUGGUCCCUCGAGUGUGCAACCGCCCUGGGAACGAGCGACUACACCGAUGAAAGUUCCUUACUAUAUUAAUCACAGCACCGAAACUACUCACUGGGAUCAUCCUCAGAUGUUGGAGCUGGCCGCUUGUUUGCUACAACUGAACGAGGUGAGAUUUUCGGCUUAUAGGACGGCACUGAAGUUGAGGGCCAUACAGAAGAAACUUUGUUUGGACUUGGUGGGACUCAAUACGGUGUCUGAGGCUUUCGAUUUGCACGGACUUAGAGCGCAGAAUGAUAAGAUUUUGGAUGUGGCAGACAUGGUGCUCGUUCUACGAGCAAUAUACGGCAACAUCGCCAAUCAAGAGCCAAAUUUAAUCGACGUACCCCUCUGCGUCGAUUUGGCAUUAAAUUGGCUCCUAAACGUCUACGACAGCCAACGUACCGGCCAAAUUAGGGUGCUCAGCUUCAAAGUGGGCCUGACGAUUCUCUCCAAGGGCCAUUUGGAAGAAAAGUACCGUUAUCUGUUCAGAUUGAUCGCCGAUCCGGAGCAAAAAGCGGAUCAAAGGAAACUGGGACUGUUACUGCACGAUGUCCUUCAGGUACCGCGACAACUCGGCGAAGUUGCCGCUUUUGGCGGGUCAAACAUUGAACCAAGUGUGCGCAGCUGUUUAGGUGAGCGUGAAGACUUAGAAGCCGCGCAUUUCUUAGCUUGGCUAAAACAAGAACCACAAUCCCUAGUAUGGUUACCAGUUCUACACCGGAUCGCCGCUGCCGAAAACUCGAAACACCAAGCGAAAUGCAACUGUUGCAAACAGUACCCGAUUAUCGGUCUCAGAUACAGAUGCCUAAAAUGCUUCAACUUCGACAUGUGCCAGAACUGUUUCUUCUCCGGCAAACUGACCAAAGGUCACAAACUCACCCAUCCGAUGCACGAAUACUGCGCCACAACAACUUCGAUCGAAGACGUGCGAGACUUCACCAAAGCCCUUAAAAACAAAUUCAAGAGCAAACGGUACUUCAUGAAACAUCCGCGGGUCGGAUAUCUUCCCGUCCGUUCGGUUUUAGAAGGGGAUGAGUUGGAAAGUCCGGUGGCUUCGCCUCAGCACAACGACAUGCACUCGCGGUUGGAGAUUUACGCUUCGAGGUUGGCCGAGGUGGAGUUGAGAGCCGCCUCGCCGGACGACGAACAUCGAUUGAUCGGGGAUUAUUGUCACUCGUUAGAUGCGCCAGCGAGUCCUGGACAAUUGAUGAUGGUUAUUGAUGAGGAGCAGCGGGUGGAGCUGCAGGAGAUGAUUAGAGAGUUGGAGGUGGAGAACCAGGCGUUGAGGGCGGAAUAUGAACAACUACAGCGUGGGUCCGCACCCCAACACCCGCCGCAGCAACCGCACCACGACGUUUUGGCUGAAGCGCGCCUCCUCAGGCAGCACAAGGGUCGUUUAGAAGCGCGCAUGCAAAUCCUGGAAGACCACAACAGGCAACUGGAGGCACAACUGCAACGGCUACGGCAGCUGUUGGAUGAACCGCCACCUACCGCCACAUUACAAACCAGGAACGUAACGGCUUCGCAGCUGAAUCAGGACAAUCCGGGACGGGGAGCGAACCAACCGCCACCACCACACGAGAGGGUUUGAAGAGGAAUACAUUUGCGUAAAUCAUAUGGUACUACGAAGGUGUGUAAAGACGUGCAUUGGGAGAUGAUUCCACAGACUAGGACUUUUCCAUAAAAAGGAGUUCCGAUAUGACGACGCAUAGACGUUUGCAGAUGCACUCGAUAUUCAUAUGGCGCAACUGCCUGUCAAAUAUCGACUAGGAGACCAUAGGAGACAAAAUGGUGUAAAUAUCACAUACAAUAAUUAUUCCUUAACUCCAGUGAGCUGUUAUGAUAGAAUGGCUCAAUAUUUAAAGGAUUCAGACUAAAUCCAGCAUCUCGAAUCGACUUUUUAUUUCCAGUUUACUGCCUAUCAAAAUAAAAAUAAUAACGACUAGAAAGAACACAAAAAAAAGGAAACUUCAAAGUUGAAAAAAUUAGAUGAUUAAAAGGAACAAUAAGAAGAAUAAAUAGGAAAAUUAAGAAACGAUGACAAAUCAACUUAAAAUACAUCGACUAGGAGACCGUAGGAAAUAAAAUGGUGUGAAGAUCACAUACUGCCACAAAUUGGUCCUUAAUUUCAGUGAUCUGCUAUGACAUAAUAAAGGUUUGAGACUAAAUCCAGCAUACCGAAUCGACUUUUUAUUUCCAGGCCUUUAAGCAGACUCUGUUUAAUUUUCCAGAUUGGCGAAUGGAUCACCACACAAAUAAACUUCCUGACAGGCGAGAUGUUGCAACGCCGCCGUCGCGAAAGUACGUUGGUGUUCGAGGUUGGAGCUCGAUUAUUUUAAAUUUUAUUUUAGUAAGCGUCUGACGUCGGUGAUGCGGCAACAUUUAAAAAAAUAUUACACGGUAUUAAUAUAAUAUUUUUCUAAUGCAGGAAUUACAUGUGUAAAACCCGCAUAGAUUUGUAAUUA